UGUCUUCUGUAUAAGUGUAUAUCUCUCUGUAUCUUUCAGGAUCUUCUACCACUUCUGGCUCGAAUGACAGAAACAGUCAACCUUCAUUCAUAUCAAUUGAGAACUGUGGAGCACAUCCAGUCAUUCCAAACGGUGAUGUUGUGCAAACAGCUGACAAGUAUUUGAAAUACAAAUGUGCGGCUUAUCACAAAUUAGUAGGACCAGACACAGUGGUGUGUUACAGUGAUGGCACUUGGUCACAAACACCUGUCUGCAAAGGAUCAUUCUGUGUCAUCAAUCCUGCUGAAUUUGCUGGAUCAUAUAUUGAAUUUUCUGGAAUUGAAUAUAUGGAGGAAGGAGAGAAGAAGCAGUAUCGCUGUAUUUGGCGCGAUUUCAUCAGCUUCAUUGAGUGCACUAAUCAACAACUUAGUUUUACUCGGUGUUGUUGGCGUAAUGACCACGAUCGAGGAGCGUGCCCAAAAAUAUCACUGCGCUCUGGUUAACUCUCCAUUGAGUGAAAACAAAAGUCAAGUUGGAAACUAUUGAACAACUUCCACCAGAAAACAACUACACUCAAAAAAUGUUUUGAUUUAAUUUGAUUUGAUUGAUUCAAAGAUGCAAUUGUUUUGUCUGUUGUUGUUGUUUGUAGUACAUACACACACUGUUUAGAUGGCAGAUUAUUCUGUGACUAUCAGCACAAUCUUAUGACAGGAACUGUAAUGCACUAAUAUCAUGAUCAAUAAACAAAUCAAUAAAGUGUGAA